CCUACGGGAGGCAGCAGUGAGGAAUAUUGGUCAAUGGGCGCGAGCCUGAACCAGCCAAGUAGCGUGAAGGAUGACUGCCCUACGGGUUGUACACUUCUUUUAUAAAGGAAUAAAGUGCGGCACUUGUCCCUUUUUGUAUUUACUUUAUGAAUAAGGAUCGGCUAACUCAUGGCCAGCAGCCGCGGGAAUACGGAGGAUCCGAGCUUUAUCCGGAUUUAUUGGGUUUAAAGGGAGCGUAGAUGGGUUUUUAAGUCAGUUGUGAAAGUUUGCGGCUCAAACGUAAAAUAGCAAUUGAUACUGGCAGUGUUGAGUACAGUUGAGGUAGGCGGAAUUCGUGGUGUAGCGGUGAAAUGCUUAGAUAUCACGCAGAACUCCGAUUGCGAAGGCAGCUUACUAAACUGCCACUGACAUUGAGGCUCGAAAGUGUGGGUAUCAAACAGGAUUAGAUACCCUGGUAGUC
rnacentral:rRNA from 1 species